CCUACGGGUGGCAGCAGUGAGGAAUAUUGGUCAAUGGGCGGGAGCCUGAACCAGCCAUGCCGCGUGAAGGCGAGUGCCCUACGGGCGUUAAACUUCUUUUGUGCGGGAGCAAUAAGGGCCACGCGUGGCCCGAUGAGAGUACCGCACGAAUAAGCAUCGGCUAACUCCGUGCCAGCAGCCGCGGUAAUACGGGGGAUGCGAGCGUUAUCCGGAUUUAUUGGGUUUAAAGGGUGCGUAGGCGGGACCUUAAGUCAGCGGUAAAAUUGCGGUGCUCAACGCCGUAGAGCCGUUGAAACUGGGGUUCUUGAGUGAGCGAGAAGUAUGCGGAAUGCGUGGUGUAGCGGUGAAAUGCAUAGAUAUCACGCAGAACCCCGAUUGCGAAGGCAGCAUACCGGCGCUCAACUGACGCUGAGGCACGAAAGUGCGGGUAUCGAACAGGAUUAGAUACCCGUGUAGUC
rnacentral:rRNA from 1 species